GUGGGAUUUCUUAGGUUUGAGAGUCCCCUGUGAACUUCUGAGUAUCUUUCAUCAUGCAGUAAAUUGGAUUAAAUUUAUAGAGUGUGUAAGCAACUGAUUGAGCAGUGGCUCAUUGGUAUUACUUGCAUGUAUGUGAAUGUGUUCCCCACACAAUAACACUAGCAUGUGUAAAGGAAAUCCUGGAUAUGAUAUUUUGGUAAGCUUGGUAUUAGAAAUUUAACUGUAAUUGCAACCUUCAUUAAUUUUGAAAUUUGGAGUGAACUGAAAUGUUUAAUACAGAGUUAAUCAAUGUUAAAAAGAGAUGAGUUUAUGUGAUGCAUCGCACAAUGAUUGAUCAAAAUCUACCCACCCUUUUUCUUUCUAUCUUUUGGUACUUACUUUUGUUUUCCUCAUACGCUGGGAAGAUGGGUGUAUUAGCACAGUUGUCUUGUUGAAUCCUCU
rnacentral:misc_RNA from 1 species